UGUGUUUCUAAAUUAAGUUCACACCAGCCCAUAUCAACCGUACAUCUUUUCAUCCCCUACAUAAACUCCCUAUCUCUCCCUCCUAAUCUCACGCACCAAUUCUUCAAUAUAUUUCAAAGAACCAAAGAAAAACCAAAUUGUAUCGAAUUAAGUAAUUAUAAUGGCAAAAUUCAGCACCCUCUUUAUUAUAACUCUCCUUAUUUGUUCCAUCACUCUUACACAUGGAGCUCGUCUGGCGCCAGAAUCUCAGCCCCCGGAAACACAACAACUGAAGGCUGAUAUAUCUGAUGCCUGUAAUCCUGGAGAACUGGAAUCGGACUGCUUGGUGGGGAAGGGACCAACGACGAGUCUAACAUCUUUAUAUUAGGUGGACUGAAAACCAAUAUAUGGAGUACUAAUUUUCCUCAAAAAAUUACAAUAAGCAUAAUAUAAAAUAGAUUUAUAUUUUGUUCUCAAACGAAAGUUAUGUUUAUAUUUUGAGACAGGGUCAAAACUUUCUCCAUCACUUAGUCACAUAACUAAGUUAAAAAUGUAUCAAAUAGUUCAUUAUUGCAACCAUAUUAUAGCACUUAUGCGGGCACGAUAUAUAAAAUGUUAAUAUCAAUUUAUGCACUA